rnacentral:rRNA from 1 species
GACGAACGCUGGCGGCGUGCUUAACACAUGCAAGUCGAACGGAAAGGCCCUGCUUUUGUGGGGUGCUCGAGUGGCGAACGGGUGAGUAACACGUGAGUAACCUGCCCUUGACUUUGGGAUAACUUCAGGAAACUGGGGCUAAUACCGGAUAGGAGCUCCUGCUGCAUGGUGGGGGUUGGAAAGUUUCGGCGGUUGGGGAUGGACUCGCGGCUUAUCAGCUUGUUGGUGGGAUAGUGGCUUACCAAGGCUUUGACGGGUAGCCGGCCUGAGAGGGUGACCGGCCACAUUGGGACUGAGAUACGGCCCAGACUCCUACGGGAGGCAGCAGUGGAGAAUAGUGCACAAUGGGCGGAAGCCUGAUGCAGCAACGCCGCGUGCGGGAUGACGGCCUUCGGGUUGUAAACCGCUUUCGCCUGUGACGAAGCGUGAGUGACGGUAAUGGGUAAAGAAGCACCGGCUAACUACGUG